rnacentral:lncRNA from 1 species
CUCGGAGCCAGCAGGGCUGGGGAACCAGUUUUACCUCAUAGUAGAACUGUGCACCUGCUGCAAAUUGCAUUCAUCCAGUGUGCUUUCUCUCUUUCUUCUGAUACUCGUGUCCUUGGGCUGAAACCCAGGCUCUGCUUUGGCCAAAAGGCAUGGAGGGAGCAAUGAUUAGAGUCAGAUUAUCUUGUCCAAGUCUGACACUUCUGAGAAGGACAGAGGAAAUUCAGUGCUUGAGUGGUUAAUGGUAUGAACCUGGAGGUGAGUCCUGUUUAUGAGCCAUUUGACUUUGUGCAAAUUACUUAAUAUCUUUGUGUUUCAGUGGAUCUUCCAUUGUUGAGUUGGGAUGCUAAUACUAGUCCCUCUGAUGGGGUUGUUGUGAGGACUGAAUUAGUACGUGUCUCGCUAACAGUAAACUUCAUAAAAAGCACUUGUCAUUUCUUUUUCCUAUACACAAUGGCAAUAGCCUUCUAUUCUCACCAGAAUUACUUCCUUGAAGCCAUCAGCCCUCUAACUUGUUGCAAAUAGUUUCUUACCUGAUCUCCUCACUUCUGACCUUGAUGCCCUAUUGAAGCCAGUGCAUGUCACUUGCCUGUUCAGCACCAUCUGCUGACUCCUCAUCUCCCUCUAUAAGAUCAAAGUCAGUAUGUGGAAAGGCCCUACUCAAUCUGGCCCUGCAGGCUGUCUCCAACUCCUGAUCUUCCUCCCUUCCUCACUCUGCCCAGCCCCACCAGUUUCCACAUUCUUCUCCCAGGAGAAUGCCUAUGCCUAGAAUUCCAGGUCUUUUUCUCUUCAAACACCACUCAGCAAUUUUAAUCAUAGUGGACUCACUGGGUCCUAAAACUUGGAGAAUAAGUUUUUGAUAAUUCCCAAAAAGUCAGAGUUCAACCUCUGCCCCUCCAGCACACAUGCAAUACUCUGAAUUACCAGGAUGUUUUCAUUCUAGGAAUCCCUUCUUUCCAUAAUUGGCUUAUACUCUGCUAGGCUGAUCCUUUCACGUCGUAUGUGACCAUGUCUGUCACUUCCAAGGGGCGAUGGAAGCUGGAGCUGAGCUUUCUGUUUAAUUUGUAUAUUCCCAGUACUGUGCACAUCACUAAGUCCUGAUGGCUUAACUUGGGCAGUGUGAAAACAGGACCCUGGGUCCUGGGAUGGGCUUCCCAGCUACAACUACACGUAGGACUUAAUUACUUUAUGCACUGAAUGUGGGAUGAGCACCCAACAAGUACAAGUCCCUGAUGUGGAAAAUAUGAUAUAAUUCCCACUCUCCACAAUUCUUCUAGACAGUUUUUUCAGACAUAUGCAUUGGAAGCACCUGAAGGAAUUUAGAAAUAUAGCUACAGGUAUAUGUUAAAUAUAAUUACACAUUAGUUAUAGCUAUACAUUAUAUAGAGAUAUAUGUGCAUAGUUAAACGUACAUAUAUAUGUACACACACACACACACACACACACAUCUGGGCUUCCACCCCUAUGAAUCAGAAUCCUUACAAGUGGGCUCUUGAUAGGCAAUUCUUUUCAGAGCUCCUCCACUGGAGGUGGCUUUUGUGAGGCUUUGGUCUUAUUUGAGGUGAUUAGAGCUGGACAGCCUACACUAGAACAGGACCCAACACAAGAGGGUGUCCAGUGACCCCUAGAGGAGCAGGACUGAUUUGUAAGAGAUGAGGGCAAUUGGCUAUUUAUUUAUUUAUUUAUUUAUUUUUUAAGUGGGAGAGAAAGUUUUUAAGCCAUGGAGACAUGGGAGUCCUCUUAACCUAAAGAGACUGGACUGAGGCCAUGGUAGUCACAGGGGGAGUAACUGAUGUGUGCUAGAGGAUCCUGGGAAGGGUGUAGUCCAGUCCUCUGAAAGCCCACAUGAAAAGGAGACACGCGUCCCGUAUACAGGCUUCCUGCUCCUGGCAUCAAGUUGACCAAUUUUUUAUUAGAAAAACUAAAACUAAAUCUAGUGCUAUUCACCCCUGCUGGGGACCCUUGGAAAGAAGGGUCUCUUUCCAGAUUUUGAUAUAAUGUGAUUUUGGGGGAAAAAAAAGAGAAGGGGCCAAGACUAUUCAAUGGAGAAAGAGUUGUCUUUUUUAAAAAAUGAUGCUGAGGGGCUUUGGCUGUGGCUCAGUGGUAAAGCACUUACCUAGCACAUGUGAAGCCCUGGGUUUGAUCCUCAGCACCUCAUAGAAAUAAAUAAAUAAAUAAGGUAUUGUGUUCAUCUGCAACUUUUUUAAAACAAUAAAAAAAUGAUGCUGAGACUAUUGAAUAAAUAAAUACAUGCCAAAGAAAGAUGGUUCUGGUGGUAUAUGCCUAUAGUCCUAGCGACUCCUGAAGCUGAGGCAGGAGGAUUACAAAUGCCAGGCCAGUCUUGGCAACUUAAGAAAUUAUUGUCUCAAAAUAAAAGAUAAAAAGAGGAUGUGGCUCAGUGGUAAAGCACCCCUGAAUUUGAACCUCAGUACCUAAAACAACAACAACAAAAAGUAUGUUGGCUCCUUUUCUAAUACAUGCAUCAUAUACCCAAAUAUAAGAACUCUUACAAGAAAAUGUAGGAGUAAACCUUCAUGACCUUGAGUUAGGCAAAGCCCUCUUGAUAUACUAUCCAAAGAACAGGUGACAAAAGGAAAAGUAGAUAAAUGGACUUCGUCAAAACUAAAAGCUUUUUUUGUUUCAAGGGGUAGUACUAUCUAAUUCACAAUGGGGAGAGAAUAGAGAUACUUUGGACUAGGCAGAGGGGAGUGAAAGGAGGGGAGUGGGUAUGGGGUCAGGAAGGAGAGUAGAAUGAAUCAGAGAUUAUUACCCUAUGUGAAUACAUGACUGGUGUGUUUCAACAUCACGUCCAACCAGAAGAAUAAGAAGUUAUACUCCAUUUAUGUAUGAUGUGUCAAAAUGUAUUCUACUGUCAUGUAUUCAUAACAAAAUUUUAAAAAUUUGAAAAAGACAUAGUAUCAAGAAAAUCAAAGGAAAUUCACAGAAUUGGAGAAAUAUAUGCAAAUCAUACAUCUGAUUUUAAAAAUUAUGUCUAAAAUAUAUAGAAACUCUUACAAUUCAAUAAUAAUAAAAAAACACAAUGUAAAAAUGAUCAAAGGACUUGAAUACACAUUUCUAAAAGGGUGAUAAGCAAGUGUCCAAUAAGCACACGAAAAGCUGUCACCACUUUGCUCAUAGAUAUUGGGCCUACAUGUAUAAUUUUAAGUUUUGGAAAUAGACACAUAACUUAAAAAUCCCUUGAAGCUCUGAUUGUGUGUACAUUUAGUUAUCUUCAAUUGUUAAAAGUGCCUGUGCUUCAUGAAUUAACACUCCAUCUUUACUAUGACUUUUAGUUCUUGCCUGAUUUAGAAACCUUCUCUUUAACUUUUUGUAGUGGCACCUUAGAAACUUUUUCAAUUCAAAAUGACUCACAGGUGAGAUUUUUAUGGAUUCAUUCCAGGGUACUGGUAGUAGAUCUUAAUCUCUUAUAGUACAUGGGAGCAGAAGUCCAGUUAUGGGAUAAGAAAAAUACCCCUCAAAAUGUUGUUGUACUUUAAAAAGGAAUAGUGAAUUCUCCCAGGAGAGGAGGAGUGAGAGGACUAACUAACCCAAGGCACUGGCAAGUCAGGCUCCCAAUAACAGGGGCUCCACACUCUCACACUCAGGGCCAGGAGACCUGGUUCCUGGUGUUCAGCUGAUCAGAGGCACUUGCUUCCUCCUCCGUGGACUUUGUAAUCUGAAUAAGGAAGAGGGAGGGAUUGGCUUCAGGACCAGCCUUUGAAUCCACCGCUUGAAUUAGGACCAGGACACACCUGAUCUAUUCAGUGGCUAGCAGCUUCUUUCAAAUAACAAACAAGCUCAGCAUUUACACUGUGUAUAUAAAUUUCCAUCACAAUAGCUGCCCUGCUUUUAUGGAACUAGGAACAAUUUGAUAGCUGAGAUAAAGGGAGAACCCUUUGAAAGAGGACACCCCCUGAAAUAACAUCUCUGUCAAAGGGGCACGUUUCCUCCACACAUGAUCUCUUUGGGUGAGUGUCACAUGGCAGAGAAACAUGAGAGUGACUCCAAAUGGUCAUUGCUGUACAUGUGGAUAACAAAUUUUAAAGAGACAACUAAAGAGCUCUUGGGCAGCCAGGACUUGCCAGCCAGCUGGGCAACGUGCCCUGGGCUUGGCUGUGAGAGAGGAGGGGAGACAGAGUGAUUGUGUAGUGGUGUGGGGGAGGCCCGCUGAGCAAAUGAGUCCUUCUCUUUGUGGGGAAAACACAGGCUUGCAGAGAGGCCGAGUGGGCAUGAGUGUUAGGGAAACUAGAUAAUUUCUAAAUUGGGAAGAAAAGCAAUUCCAACAUAUUCCUUGGAGCAAUGAGCCCUGAGUUUAAAUCAGGAGAUGGGGGGUGGGGGUGGAAUUCAGCUUACCCUCCUCCUCUUCCUCUCCCCUGAGAGGGGAGGGGAAGGUAGAAAUCUGAAUUCUGAUUAUGCAACUGGGGGGAACUACCCUUAGAGAAGAAUUAAUUUGUAGGGAGACCUUGAAACACAGCCCUUGCCACAAUCGGACAGGGAUAAAAAUCAGGAGUUCUUUGCUCCAUGGCUUGUACUUUUUGUGGGUGAAUAUGUGGCAGGAUAAUAAAAUGUCAGUAUUUCAGGUUAAUUGAAGGACAAUCUAAAUGAGAGAGGACCUUGAAAAAAUAAAAUGAGUGAAGAGACCACAAUAUUUUUAGCCAUUUUAACCUGAGUUUUAGUUAGCUUGGGCUACAAUAACAAAGGAAGGAAUGGCUUAAGAACAGACAUACAUGUUCUCACAGUUCUGAAGGCUGGAAAUCCAAGAUGAAGGAACCAGCAUGGUUGGGUUCUGGUGAAGGUCUUCUUGAUGACUUGAAGAUGGCAGCCUUCUUGCUGGGUCCUUAUGAGUGUAACAUGCACUCUGGAUUCUCAAUUUUUAGUUGUAAGGACACUAAAUUCAUGAUGGGCUCUCCAUCCUCAUGAUCUCAUCUCCAUCCAAUCACACCCCACCCCACCCCACCCCACCCCACCCCACCCCACACGAAAGCCUCCAUACCACCACAUUGGGGGUUAGGACUUCAACAUAUGAACUUUGGAGGGACACAAGCAUCAUCCCAUAACCACCUGGAGCUUCUCACCCACCCUCCAAAGUUGAGCAGUACUAAGCCUGCUCAGGGGAAAUCACCACAUUCAUGAGCCUGCGUUCUCACUUGAGAAUUUGGGAAAUGGACCUCCAGGAUAAGCGGGAAGAGUUCUCUCCUUCGCCUUGGGAAUUCUGCCAUCUUUUCAUCUUUUGCUUCUGAUGCUUUCCUUUUGGGUAUGGGUUUCUAAUUUAGUCCAUUUCAGCUGCCAUGACAGAAUAGCAUAGACAGGGUGUCCUAUAACUGACAGAAAUUUAUUUUUCACAAUUCUGGAACAGAGAUGGCAAAGAUCAAGGUACUGGCAGAUGGUGUCUGGUAAAGGUCUGCAUCCUCAUAAGUGAUGGUUUCUGCUGUGUCCUUACUUAAGACCAUUUCCUCACACUUGUUUUAUAAAGACAUUAAUCCUGCUCAUGAAGGCUCCACCCUUAUGAUCUAAUCACCCUUCCACCUCCUAAUACCACCAUGUUAGGGCUUAGGAUUGCAGCAUGUGAAUUUGGGGGAGAAUAAACCUAUAGCUAACACAGUUUCUCAUAGACCAGGGGCAUGCGGCGGGGGAGGCUGAGAUUGAGCAGGCAAAGCAUGUGGGCAAGAUCAGAAAGGAUAGCAACCCCUAUGAAAUUAGAAGGCAACAAGGUUUGGGUAAGGAGAACAUAGAGAGCAGAGGUGGGGAUGGAAGCAGGAGACAGGUUCACCAAGAAAAGAAAAAUAGUUUGUGGCUUAACUCUUUCUGGAAGAUUCUUUUUAGAAAGCUCAAGGCAGAGUUCACAUAAAAAGGGACAAGUUUGCCUGGCAUGUUCCUGUGUUCUAACCCUGUGAGCUUUGCAUCGGGUUCCAGAAACCAGAACACUGCCCCAGAAACAAUGGCUCAGGAUUUGCUGCCUCUGGGUCUCUGUAGAGACCAGUACAAAGUCCACUUCCAUUUAGCCAGGUCUCCCAUCCAGCCAGAGCUCCUUGCCUCCGGUCCCAAAAUAUGUUAAAAGAAGGUUUUUUCCUUUAGAUUCUGAAAUUUCUCCUUCCUUUAGCACAUUGAGUGGUUGGGAUGAUAAUAAAGCUGACUGAGCUGGGCUUCACUGCACCUAGCCUGAGAGCCCUCUGUGACCUUUGCUAACUCCUGCAUUUAUUCCUCUGCCCCCACCCUCUGCACUUACCUUCUAGGCAUGGUGAUUUCCUCACUGGGCUGUGAGCUUCUCCAAGGCAGGAAGCAGAUCUUAUCCAUCUUUGGACCUCAGCACACAGCAUAAUGCUUGGAACCUAGUAAGGCUAACGAAAAUUCUGGCUUUUAAAAACACUUUACACUUAAGAAAAAAUGUUAUUUUUAAUAAGAAAUGCCAUAUUUUGUUAAUUUUUACAUGCAACAAAACAUGUGAUGGGGAAAAUAUUGGACUGAUAUACAAAUAUCAACAUCAAAAUUUUGUAACAAAAUAAUGUAACUUUAAGCCAUGGUAAGGCAGAAAAUAUCAUGACUAUUAUGAUUUAAAUCAGUACGACAUUCUAUUCAUAAUCUAUUGAUUUGAUCCUAAAAAUAGAUUUUUAAAAAUAUUCCAUCACAGUACAAAGUGUCAUGCAAUGUAAAUGAGCUAACUAUGAGACAGUUAUUGGAAAAUAAUAAUUUAUAGUGUGUAGAGACAGUCUGGGUCUGGGAAUUCUAAAUUGAAGGAUGACAUCUUUCUUGUCUCUCUCUCUCUCUCUCUUUUUUUUUUUUUUGCAGGGUGUGGGGGUACUGGGGAUUGAACUCAGGGGCACUGGACCACUGAGCCACAUCCCCAGCCCUAUUUUGUAUUUUAUUUAGAGACAGGGUCUCACUGAGUUGUUUAGUGCCUGCUUUUCCUGAGGCUGGCUUUGAACUUGUGAUCUUCCUGCCUCAGCCUCCCAAGCCACUGGGAUUACAGGCGUGCACCACCAGAUCCGGUUCUCAUCUCUCAUUUUAUCUCUUCUACAUCCAAAAGCUUAAAGUUGAGGCUAUAUGUGAUGCUGUGACAUGGGAGAAAUAGGCAUUCCCUUCACCUGUUUUGUUUCCUACAACAGCAUCAUAAUAGGUCUUGUCAGCCCAGUUCCUUAGAGUGCCGCAGCCAAGGCCCAACAUAGCAGCCAUGGGGAUUCAGAAAAUCUACAGUUGUGUCUGUGGCGGGACCAGGUGCUGGCAGAGAAGCCUGGACUUUGGAUCAGAGGACACCUUGGAUAGUUCUUAGAGUCAGUGCUCUACUUGUGCCUGGGUCUCUUUGCCCUUUACAAGUACCAGAUAUCAAUCAGCUCUCAUCCCAACAGCCAGUUCCUAUCUCUCUACCAAAGGAUUUCCUCCAAAUUGCUGGAACCAAUGUGCUGACAGAACAAGAAAAUAUCUGGGAGUUUACAUACCCCUGGGACAGUCCUUAACCAAGAGCCCAGUGCAUCAGGGGUAAAAUACCCCCACUCUCUUGCUUCCAUUAGAAUAACUUUAAGACUAUCAUUGUCUUCAGAGUUUCUUUUUCAGAUCACUCCUGGCACUGAACCUUUACUCCUCCCACUUCCUAUCAUAGUCCCACUACCCCAUUCGUUUUUCCACUCUUCCUAGGAAUCUCUCUGGAUGAAGCACUUUCACAUGAAAAACCUUGUCUCACUGUGUCUGAGGAUCUCGACCUAUAACAGACACCCUUCUUCCUGUGUGACUUCAGACAAGUUAUCAGUUCUAUUUGAACCCGUUUCUUUUUCUGUAAAAAUGACAUACAAAUAUCAACCUUAUAGAACUAUUGUAGGAAUUAGAGGUCAUGUAUAUAAAAUAUCUGGAGCAGUCAGUUGCUGUGAUGUAAGUUGUUAUUGGGUAUUUCCCCCUUGUUAUUGGUAUUUCCCCAAGGGAGCAGGCUCACGCAGGCUGCUAGGGGCAAUAUUCUCCAUGCUCAGCAUGGUGGUGUGGAAAUGCAGACAGUAGGAGCUGGGAUGGAAAAGCAAGCCUAGUUAUGUGUUGCCCUAGAAUUGAGCCUACAACCCCUCCAACUUAAAUGGGUCUAAGUAAUUUGGUUGUGAGCUUUUUAAACUCUGAGCACAAAAUUGGGAUAUAAAAAUAUGAUUUGAGGGGUAGGUGUCAAGAGAAGAUUCCGGAUUUGAUUUUAAUUACUCUUAGAAUUGUCUUCUGAUGGAGAAAAUCUUGGGUGGGUUUUUAAUAGGGUUUACUCUGAUAAGAGAGACCCUGCCUCACUCAGGUCUUUCACUGUACUUUGGCGCCUGCGGAUUGGUGACAGGCUGUCGGGGCUGGGGUUCCCAUGGGGAGCAGGUGAAGGUUGAGUCAGAUGAGAAUCAAAUGGCCUCAACUUCAGGAAACUUAAUUUCCUGGUGAUAAUGGAUUAAUCCAUUAUCAUCUUAUGUGUAAUAUCUGAUAGUGAAAUUCUAGUGAUUUGUUUCCUCUUCCUGAAGCCAAGGAGUUGCAGGGAUCUAAUACUGUAGAAUCCGUUCUCAUGCUCCUGUCCCUAGGCAUUUCCAUGAUCUCUGCCUCCUGCAUUUCACUCACUUCAUCCUUCCGCAAUACAGAGUGUCUGAAUAUAAUUCUCUCAGGUCAGCUUUCCUAAGCCUCUAUUCUCUGGAGUCUUCAACAUCUGCUUUGGGUUGCUACCUCCACUCCUGAAAAAUUGCCUUUUGCUGUUAAUUGUAAAUGCAGAUGGUAUAAAUAACCACUGAAAAUGAGUCAGAGCUGACCUGAUGAAAUCAUAUACAUAGGGCAGACUAGAUGGUGCUCAGGAAAAAGACAGGGCAGGUCAUAGGGGAGGUUAUACGUGGGGAGGAGAGGGCAGCAGCCCUGAGUAUUGAGAGCUAUACUCCAGAAUGGUUCUGGUUUGAUUCUGGUGCAGAACCUAUAGGGCACACUGGAUGUUUUGUGCCUUAAAGUCAAAGGCUAAGAAAACCAGGCUUUGCUGGCCCUGGAGUAAGCAGAGAGAACAAGACACAGAGGAACACACUGACUGCCUCUACGAGGACUGUCACCAGGAACAAGGAUCUGGGUGCAAUCUGAUGGUCUCCUUUCUGGAAGAAAGCUCCAUGUUUUAAUAGUAAACGUGCCCAGAAAAUCUGCAGGCCGUUAGGAGUUGGGGUGGGUUAGCACAAUGAACAUUUCUCACUGGAAUUCUCUGAGGGGGGCUGUAGUCUCUGUAGUGUGAGGCCCUCCAAAUGCCCCUCACUCAAGGUAGGUUUCUAAAAGAAGGUCUUGCCAGAUAAUCUCUUGUGUUGGUCAGCUUUUCAUCACAGUGACUAAAAUACAUGCCAACAACAACUUAGAGGAAGAAAGAUUUUUUCUGGCUCAUGGUCUCAGAGGAUUUGGUCCACAAUUAACCAGCUCUAUUGCUCUAGGCCUAAGGUGAAGCCGAACAUCAUGGCAGAAGGGUGUGGCAGAGGAAAGUUGCUCAGCUGUGGCCGCAAGGAAGCAGAGAGAAUGAGGGGAGGACGCAUCCUGAAGAAAAGGUAAACCUUUCUAGGACACAUCUCCAGUAACCUACUUCCUCCCACUAGGUUCCCCAUAGUUCAUUCAUCCAUCAGUGGAUUAAUCCAUUGAUGAAUUAAUUAAUCUAGACAGUGCCCUCAUGAUCUAAUCACCUCCCAAAAAAGCCCACCUCUGAGCACAUAAGACUUUGGGCGACAUUCCAGAUGCAAGCCAUAAUAUCCAUCAUGGAGAAGGGAAAAUACAGAGGAGCAUGGGGGUAAGUCAAGCGCAAGUCAAGCUCUAGGGAUAUACCUCAGUGGUAGAGUGCUUGCCUAGCAUGUGUGAGGUCCUAUGUUCAGUCCUCAGUAGCGUGCACAUGCACACGCGCGCACGCACACACACACACACGCACACAAAGGGUUAAUUUCUACAGAGAGAUUGGUGGCACAGCAUAGCUGUUUUCCAAGGACAAGGAAGUGACCUCACAGAGUCCUUUGCUCAGGGUAGCUGUUCCUCCAUUCCCCAGCUCUCAACACUAGGCUACAAAUCUGUAGCACCACUCCCUCCCUUCACACCUUUCAUAAGGAUUAAGUGUUUCAUCUCAGGUCAUGCCUGCUAAAGUGCAUCCAAGAUACAUACCACCUUGCCAGGACCAGACCAGGGCAAAGAGGGGUCAAUGGAAGCAAAAUCAAAACCAGAAGACGUUUUCUAUUUCCUCUAAGGACAUUAAUAAAGGGAGUCCUGUUGCCAUAAUAACUGAUGCCAAUUAGUCAAGGAAGCAAGUCUUACAUCACUAAAACUGAUGCAGUGUGGAAGCCACUCUGAACCCUUCUACCACUGUGUGUGCACCACACACACUGCACCUGUUCAGUCACUGUUUGCCCAAAACAUUAUUCAGCCUUUCCUUUGUUCCUGCUAAUCACUGCUAAUCCUGUGUAUUGCACAUGUAUUGUCACGCCCCUCCCUGAUUUACUUCUGGGGCAUCUAUUUGUUAUUACUAAGUCAUGUUUUUCAUGGAAACACAGCACGUGGGUAGACUGGGAUUGUUUCCUGUUUCCUAGACUUUCUGUUCCACCCUGACAAUGCUGGGUCAGCUCAGAGAAUCCUUCUUCUCUUUCACAAAAGAUACCUGUUCAGUUAAAGAAUGUCUGAGCAAAUCCUUCUUAUCUGAGCAUUAAAAUAGACACCCCUCAUACUGAGGGGCUGGUUAUUGCCAAAAAACAGGGAUAUGGAAAGAGGCCACAUUGUUUAUUUUCUGCCCAGGUCCACAGCCUGUAGGAAGCUGGCUAGUGCAGUUCUAUGAGGAAUAGUGUACAGUGUCGACUCCAUUAGUUAAUGUGGCGUGGAGCAGUGCAUGGGUGGAGUCUCUUCCUUCGGGGUCUACUGGGGAAUGCCUGUGCACUCCCCAACACCACUGCAAUGUGGUUCUCAGAGCCAGAGGUGGAUUUCUCUGCUCCAGUCUCAGCUGCUCCAGUACUGGUUCUAAAGCUGCUGGUGGAAGGCCAAGGAUAUUUUAUGGAUUCCUUGGGAUGCUGUUUAGGGGAAAUCUUUGGAGAUGAGCUGGUGUGAAUUCUGAGGUGUCAGUAUGAGCUCAGUUCCUAACGAUAGUUUCACAAACAGCCAACUCCCUGAGUCUCAUCACGCAGACUCUGCUGAUGAUGCUUCAUCUCAACCUCUCUGUUGGAUCAACUGACUGUGAAGCAUUUUUCCAAAUCCACUCUGCUAGCUGUUGAGCUUCCCAGAGGAGUUAUCCAAGGACCUCUGUGGCCUUUCCUUGGCUAGUUUGUGACAAUCCCAUGCUGGCCUUAUGGAAACCUGGCCGGAACAGAUACAAAGACAGUUGUUUGUCCCCCCACCCGCCAGGUCAGAGAGUACAUGUGGCCACAGCUGUUGGAACACUGAGCUCCUUGUGAAUUCAGCUCUGGAAAUGGUGUCAACAAGAGGAACCCCUAUAGCAUCUUCAGCAAAAACGUACUAAUGUCUUUCUACAGUAUGACUUUAUUAAGUGGUAAAAUUGGUGGGAAACAGGUACAGUGUGGGCCACAGUUCUAAAUUGACUUCUAGGAAUGGCAUUAUAAAAUGUGCUUUCAUGAACUCAUCAAAUAGAAAUUAUUUUCAUCUCAGAACAAUUUCAUAUUUGAGAGAGAUAUCACUAAAUAAAGAUUCAGAUAAACUACACCUCUAGUGUCUGGUGUAUGUUGAAACUUCCUUUGCAAUUGGAUUGCAUUGAUUCCUAGUGCCAUAUGCCCCUCUGCUCCACUGCCCCUGACAUCAGCAAUCAACCUGAAGUCCCUUUCCUUUUCUUAGAGCCUCUGAUUACUUAUGACUUUGUUCUCCUCUUAGGGCUCUUGCUAUCUCAGGACUUCUGCUCAUUGCUUUUUCUGCGUGCCUUUACCUAUCUACAGUAUACUGUCAACUCCCAAGCAUCCACUUUCUUUUUCUCCCCAUAUGUGCAUAUAUAUCUUUCUCUGUCUCUUGAGUCUGGAGAAAGCAUCUUAUUGAACCGUUAGUCAUCAUCAUCUUUCUCAGCCAGCUCUAGUUUGCAGAUUGUCAGCCACUUUGACUGGUACUUGCUCCUGACUUAAUCACUAUUGGUCAAAAUGUGAAGCUCCUUUGGAGAUGAUUUUUUGCUGAAAUAACCCUUGGGAGAGUGUUGGGGCAUGCCAGGCUUUUUGAGGUUAGGUCUGGUUGAUUUUCUAAUUCCACCCUCAACAGGCUGACUUGAAACCUUAUUAACACACUUUUAGCACAAUACACAUUUCACUAGAAAUCAAUGUAACCCAACACUACCCUUAGCAAGGAUUGUUACAUGAGACAGUAUCUAAGACUGGGAUAGUGUACCAGGGCUUCAAUAAAUUAAUAAAGCAGAGAAUAUGAACCAUGAGAAACUAGAGAAGGGUAGAUAGUUAAAUCUCAUUUGUGACCCAAGCGUUUGGGUUUUCUGUAACUGUCUAACAAAUCAUCCCCAAAGUCAGUGCCAUAAAGUAGUGACCAUUUAAUGAUUCAAAUGCUGGGGGGACAGGUGGAUAGGACAAGGUGGGCAUGACUUGCCUCUGCUCAGCAAUGUCCAGGCCUCAAUUGGGACUGAAAUAGAAGAGUUGGGGACACAAUCACCUGGAGACUUCACUGGAAUGACUGGUGCCUGGGCUGAUGUGAUCGAAAGGCAGGCUCCUGUGCCUCUGUUGAUUAGAGUUCCUACACAUGGCCUCUUUGCAGGGCUUGGAAUCCCCAGAGUACGUAUUUCAAUGAGCAAGAGCAGAGUCAUAUGACUUCGUAUGACCUAACUUUGAGAGUCACAUGACUUAUUCAUUGAUCAAAGUAGGCACAAACUCCCUCAGAUUUAUGGAGAGGGAAAUAGAGAUUCUACUUCUCAAUGAGUGAAAUGCCAAGGAAUUUGUGGUCUUAUCUGAAAAAAGGCCAUACCAAGGAUAAAUUAUUUAUUUCCCUUAAGGACUACUUUCCUUUGACAUGCUUGGGAAAGGGGUGAGAGGCUAUCCCAAUUUGGCUCCCAAAUCAUCUCUAUUACAGUCAGUUGUUCUUCCAUAAAGUAUGCUCUUCUUCACUGCACUGAAUGCCACCACUCCCUCUGCUGAUAACGGUGGCCUCCAAUAAUGGACCUUGGUUUCCAGGUGACAUUCCUGCUACCCUCACAGUAUCACCAUGGAGAAGGCAGGUAAGAGAGUGUAGGCUCCAUUUCUCACUUUCCUUGACAAAAGCAUGAUCCACUGUGGAGAGUGGUGACUUGGAUCAUGAUCUCUGACUGCCUCAUAGCUUUGUUUGCACUGGGGGUUUCCUGUGCAAAGGUGCAGGUUAAGAUUGCCCACUCAGAAAAAUGAGAAAUUAUAUCCCAUCUGAUUCAAAUGUAUGCUAUGUCAAGGUCAUUGUAUUGUCAUGUGUAUGUCAUGUGUAAUAAUUAAAACAAACAAAAAGAUUGCCCAGUUGCUAGGGUGAUGCCCGACCUGCAGUGGCUCUAUUCAAGGGCAUGGAGCUAUACCAGUCUGGACCUUGAGCUCAGACCACCAGAUCCCAGGGAUAGAGAAUUAUGAGCAUAACAAGAUAACCCUAAUGUUCUAGUGCUGCAUCCUUCAGAUUGCCUGCUUUGCAGAAACUUUCCCACAAAUAAAAUUUUGAUGACAAAACCUAUAUAAUAAAUGUGCUGAGCUAGCUCUGGGCCAUUGUUCCUCUAUCAGAGGACAGUGUUCCACUUGGUCCCAGCUAGAAGUGUGUGUUUGUCUUUUCUCACUCCCCCAUUGCCCCUUGCCAGUUUCUGAAUAGAAGCAGAUCAGAGCAAUCCACAUUUGUGUGGAUUCAUCAGAUUCUCUGAAGUACGAAGGGAACCAAAGGGAAUAACACUAUAUUAAGAAAGGCAUUUAAGACCACAUUAUGGCAUGAUUCUGCCAAGUUUAUGAGUGGAAGGUCUUCAAGAAGCUAUCAGGUAAUUAAACCCUUGUGUCUUACGUUUUUCCUCAUCUCUGUCCUCUCUCUUACAGAACUUCCUUUUUGUAAUAUGCAUGAUAAUCUUUAUUCACUUUUGGGCAACUUCUAGCCCUACUCAUGAAGUUGUCCUUGUCCUCAAGAUUGAUCUCUUUUUCUCGUAGUGUAUUUCCUUCAGUGUGAGUUACUCAGUGCAUAGUAAUACCCAGAAGACAAGCAAGAUAGAUGGUGGAUUUGGGCACUCCAAUUUACUUAGAACUUCCUUCACUCUUUUUAUUUUUUUAAUGCUGGGGAUUGAACUCAGGCCUCACACAUGUUAGAUAAGUGCUCUACCACUGAACUAUACACCCAGCCCUUUUAAAUUUUAUUUUGAGACUGGAUCUCAUUUAUGCUCAGGCUAACCUCAAACUUGCAAUCCUCCUGCCUCAGCCUCCCAAGUAGCUGAAAUUACAGGUAUAUACCACCAUGUUGGCUCUUUAAGUCUUUUCAGAGGCAAAACUGAUGGUUGUUUUAGCUAGCUUUUUCAUUGCUGUGACAAAAAUACUCAAUAAGAACAACUUAGUGGAGAAAAAGUUUGUGGCUCAUGGUUUCAGAGGUCUCAGUUCACAGACAGCCAACUCUAUUGCUCUGGGCCCAAGGUAAGGCAGCACAUUAUGGGGGAAGGUAUAUAUUGUGAUUGGCUGACUUCACUUAACAUGAUAUUCUCUAACUCUGGCCAAUGCCAUAAUUUUAUUACUUGCAAAUGCUAUAAUUAUUCUCUUUUAUUGCUGAGUAUUCCAUUGUGUAUAUUAUAUACCACAGUUUCUUUGUCCAUUCGUCUAUAUUGGAUUAGGCCCUGACUUUCUAAACAAGACUCCUAAAGCACAAGAAAUAAAAUCAAGAAUCAAUAAAUGGGAUGGAUUCAAACUAAAAAGCUUCUUCUCAGCAAAAGAAGCAAUCAAUGAAGUGAAGAGACAGCCUACAUUUUGGGAACAAAUUUUUGGCACAUGUAUGUCAGAUAGAGCACAUCUCCAGGAUAUAUAAAGAACUAAAAAAAACUUAACACCAAAAAACCAAACAACUCAUUCAAUAAAUGGGCUGAGGAGCUGAACAGACACUUCUCAGAAGAAGAUAUACAAUCAAUCAGCAAAUAUACGAAAAAAAUGUUCAACAUCUCUAGUAAUUAGAGAAAUGCAAAUCAAACUACUCUAACAUUUCAUCUCACUCCAGUCAGAAUGGCAGUUAUUAAGAAUACUAGCAACAAUAAGUAUUGUCAAGGAUGUUGGGGGAAAGGCACACUCAUGCUGGUGGGACUGCAAAUUGGUGCACCCAAUAUGGAAAGCACUAUUGAGAUUCCUUGGAAAGCUGGGAAUGGAACCACCAUUUAACCCAGCUAUCCCACUCUAAGGACUUAAAAACAGCAUACUACAGGGACAUAGCCACAUCAAUGUUCAUAGCAGUACAAUUUACAAUAGCCAAUCUGUGGAACCAACCUAGAUGCCCUUCAGUAGAUGAAUGGAUAAUGUAACUGUGAUAUAUAUAUAUAUAUAUAUAUAUAUAUAUAUAUAUAUAUAUAUACACACCCAGAUUUAUAGUUAAAUUAGCUUUCAUCUUCAGUAAGUGGGUUAGAUUUCACAUGAGUUAGAAAUGUGAAAAUUGUUACAUUUAUAGAUAUUUGGGUUAUGAUAACACUCAAUCAUUUUUAAGAUAAGGACAAAAGUGCAGGGUUAGGAGUCCCUGCUUACCAUUCUAAAUGGUAGCCUCUGUAGGGCUGGACUCUUCUCUCUGCGAUAUGUAAAUUCAAACAUCCCAAAAGAAGUAUGAACAAAUAUUCUUCAGUACAACUCUUCUGAAGUCUGAAGCAUACUGCUCUUCUGCUUGGUUUCCAGGUUCUAGAAGAGUCUGUUCCCCUUUGGAGAUGGUUCUUCUGUUCUCUCUUUGCCUGGCUGACUCCUGGUGAUCUCCUAGGACUCUGAGGUGUCUUAAAUACUCAGGCUAGCUUUACCUGAUUUGCCCCUGCAUCUUUCCUUAGUCUCAGUCUUGUUUUUAGCAGUCCUCAUAUCACCCUGUACCUUCCCACACUGAUCAUGGUUGUAAUGGUUUAACUGGAGGACAGGGACCAUGACUACCUAUGGAGGCUCACCACUAAAUCCCCAGUACCUACACCAAAGCUUGGCAGAAGUUUAAAUGAUUUAACUUAAAUGGCUUGAAUUUGAAUGAAUGCAUGUAUAGAUAGGAAUGUGCAAGAGAUGAUUAUAAGAAAUGUCAGGGUUUAAAUCACUUCUUAUUGAAAACAUGUCUAUCUGAUUUGCUGCAUGUAAGCAUCGUGACAAAUAUAACUUAGUUUCUUUUUUUACCACAUAUAGUUUAUAACUUCUUUUAACUUGCAACUAAGAUGUCAAGUUUUCAUGUUUAGGCUGUAUAGCUUUUACUGUUCUAUAUAAUAAUGCAGAAAUAGUAAUAAGUUUCCCAGUUGGGCUUUAUAAGUCCAGAUUUCUACUUACAGUUCUAUCUAUGAAGGCACAGAUGUCUGCCACCCAUGGGAGAUGUCAGCGAUACUGAGUAGGCUCUACUCUUACCCACCAGAGCAGAUUUAACCUCUCUUCUUCCUGGGUCACUGGCGUUUAUGUUCAUGGUUCUUUGUAGUAAACUCUUCCUUGACACUUCUCUCCCGACCCAGCAUUUAUUUCUAAGACCCUUUUCUACUACACAUCUCUUUUCUAGAGAAUAGAAAAGCUAAAUACUUGCUUCCUCAGUCUCCUUUAAAACUAGGCUUUACCAGGAGGAGAACUUGGGGCUAAUGAGAUACAAGCACAAGGCCAUCUGUGAAGUUGUUAGCAUUCUUGAUAAAAGGGACAGGUUUUGCUAAUGUCAACAUCUUCUAUCUUCCAUGCCUUAAAUAUGAACAUGAUGGUUGGAGAUGUAGCAGCCAUCAGGCGACCAUGGAGCAAUGAGCUGAUGCUCUAGGAUGGUGGAACAAACAGAAGAGCCUGGAUUCUUGAUGACAUGCCAAUCUUAGACUGUCUCUUUAUCUGAUUUUCUUCUCAUCUUUAAGUCUGCAGUAGAUGGCUUGUCAUUAAACACAGCUUAAAGUGUGCUUAACUGAUACAACUAGGUAGACUAUUUUUAGCUGGCUUCUUAAUCUAGACCUAAAUCUAUGUUUAAUCUAAAUUUACUCAAUUUAAUAGGAAUCUCCCCUUGAUCUAAAUACAAGUAGGGACCCAUAUUUGAGAAGGGGCAAUAGCCUUUCUUUUGUCCAUACCUUACUGUAUUGACGGGACCGCAAGUAGCAACUUAUAAUGAUGCUCACGCUGAAACUAUAAAUUGAUGAAGGAUUUAGCUCUUCUCUCUUACUCUAUGGUAAACAAGUUAAAAACCUUAUGUUCUAUUUCUCAGAUUUUACUACAUAAAGAACUUUCAAGAAAAUUAGAAAUAUUCCUUUUCCAACAUCUAGUAGAUCUAAGACCUAGACACCACUCUCAAUUUAAUGUCAAAACUACUUUGAAAUUAACGAAUUAAUAACAUACCAUGUCAGCAAACAGUGUUUAACCUUCUGACUUCUCUGCUGUAAUUCUUUAUCUAUAAUAAAUGAGAUGGGUAGAACAAUAGGCCUUUGGGCUCACUGUUCAACUUUAAAUAAAAAAAAAUUUAGACUAUGAUUAUUAAAUGAUGAAUGAAUUGCAGAAAUUCUUCCAAAUUCGCUUUAUGCAAAGCCCCCCAAAUGGUUAGCUCUUUUUAUCUCUAAGAAUUAGGGGAGCCUAAAGCUUUGACUGAAACCACAAAGUGAGUCCUCCCACCUCUGUCUCUCCUUCUUUCUCUUUGCCUUUUCCCUUGGAGCCCAAAGUUAAUAGGUUGCACAUGCUGUUAACGGAACCUCCAUCCCCCGCGGAGUCGACACUGCCAAGACGCCCUGACUCUCAGUGUGUCUCACCAGUUCCUGGCUUUGGUUUCAUGUGAUCUGAAGCACUCUCACAUGAAGCCAGGAAGAUCUACAGUGCAGCACUGUGGAAAAUGUGAAACAUCAGUGUAUUUUUCAAAGCUGGAUUCUAACUGAAACUUGGCUUGUUUGCUGUCUGGCUGAUAAGGAUGGGUGAGGGAUAAAGCCUUGGCUUUGCUGUGUUCGUGGUAGAAUCUAAGCAUUGAUCUUAAAAGGAACAUUUCAGGUAGGAGAGGCGAGUCUUUUGUUUUCUAACUACUGGUAAUAGCUAACUUUGGAGCUCCCUGGACAUUUACAUGGGCCAGGAGCUAGACAUGCAGAGGGGAGAUGUGCAGAGGGACUAGCUCUCAGGCUCCACACAGAUCAAGGCCUUAGGAAAAGUAUGGAUUGGGUCCUAUCUCACUGAGAAAUGUGUGUGUCUGUGGUGGCCACCUCCCAGAGAGAGAAAGGGGAACUCCAGCUGAAAAAUGGCUUCAUCUGUCUUGAGCAGACCUACUGUUUUUAGGCACUCACAGAUGGGUUUUUUUUUGUCAAAAAAAUUAUUGCUUUUGACCUUUCAAGAUGGGUAGGAUUGUGCAGGGCGUUUUCAUUAGUUUGUGGUGUGUCUGCUUUGCCUCUGCAGAGGCAAGAUGUCAUAUCUGUCAUGUCUGCUCAGGGUUUUAUAGUCUCUUAUUGAUUACUCUUUACAGACCCCCAUGAGGGAACUGGGUAAGAAGCAUAAACUAGCAAGCUCAUGUUUAUGUAGCUCACCUGAAUGCAUUGGGGUUUCUUUUCCUCUGAUGUUCAUUUCUUUGCAUAGUUGGGGGCUGCUCUAUUUUUCCCAAAUAUCUUUUGGUUGCUCAUUCAUAUUUAAUAAUAGUAUAGAAAUCACUAAUUUUGACCAUGAUCCUUAAAAAAAAGUACAAUUUAACAUAAAAACCUGGCAUGUCUUCAAAGACUUCUUAUGUACAAUGUUCACUGAUAGCUUCAGUUUUAGUUUGUUUCAUUUAAAGAAUGCCGGUCAUGACCACUUAAUUUAUGACCCACAAAGGAGCUGCAAUUUAUACAAAAUAUAUUGGGAUAGCAUAGCUUAUUUCAAAAGACAAAUGGCAGCAAUGGCAUAAUUGUAAAUUCAUUGAUGUUAAAAAUUAUUUAAGUUCUCAGCAAACUAGGAAUAGAGGAGAAUUUCCUCAACUUGAUGGAGAAUUUUCUCAACUUGAUGAAGAAUACAAAUGUAUAUGUACUCUACAGCUUACAUUAAACGUAAUGAUGAAUAAAUAACUCAUUCUUACCAAGAUUGGGAACAAGAAUGCCCUUUUCACUACUGCUUUUCCUCAUUGUACAGGAAAUUCUAGCCAAAUCAGUAAUGCAAGAAAAGGAAAUAAAGGGCAAACAGAUUGGGAAGGAGGAAACAAAACUGUCUUAUUUUUGCGGAUGUCGUGAUUGCCUAUAAAAUAAGAAAAAACUGCCAAAACAAAUACUGCUUGAAUUAAUAAGUGAUUAUACAAGAUUUCAUGAUACAAGGUUAAUAUAUAAAAAGAAUUGUUUUUCUAUAUGCCAACAAUAAACAGGUGGAAUUUGCAAUUAAAACAUAUUGCAUUAUAAAGUAAUGUAAUGUAUGUUUAUAUGUAAUGUGAUGCAUAUUUUAACGUAGAACAUAUUAUAUUAUAAUGUACAGACUUUAAUAUUAAAUAAAAUUAGGUACUUAAGUUUAAAUCUAACAAAAUAUGUGUAGUAUUUUUACGAGGAAAACUACAAACUCUGGAGAGAUAUUCCUUAUUUAUAGGUAGUAAGAUUAAAAAUAGUCAAAAUGUCAAUUCUUCCCAACUUAGACUAUAGAUCAAAUGCAAUAUAAAAUAAAAAUGUCAAAAUAUUAUUUUGUGGAUAUUGACAAAUUGGUUCUAAAGUUUAUAUGGAGAAAUAAAAGGCCAAGAACAGCCAACUCAAUAUUGAAGGAGAAGGAUGAAACUGAAGGACGGACACUGCCCAGCUUCCUUGUACUUAUUACAAAGAUACAGUGAGGACAGUGUGGUAUUAGUGAAAUAAUAGACAGAUCAAUGAAACAGAAUAGAGGACCUAGAAAUAGACCUUCAUGGAUUUGGUUAACUCAUGUUUGACAAAAGAUCAAAGGCAGUAAAAUGGAGCACAGAUAGUCUUUUCAAGAAGUCAUUGGAAUAAGUGGAUUUCCAAGUGAAAAAAAGAAAAAAAAGUAUAGACAUAGGUCUUAUACCUGUCAUAAAAAAUAACUCAAAAUGGAUCAUGGACCCAAGUAUAAAAUACAAAAUUGUAUAAUUCUUAGAACAUAGAGAAAACCUAGAUAAUCUUACUUAUGAUGAGGACCUUUUACAUAUAAUAUCAAAGGUACAAAUAAUAAAAUAAGAACUGAUAAACUGGACUGCAUUAAUGUUAAAAAAUGUCUUCUCUGUAAAAGACAAUAUCAAAAGAAUAAAUAGACAACAUACAACUGGGAGAAAAUAUUUCAAGAAAGCACAACUGAUAAAAGACUAUUAUCCAAAAUAUGCAAAGAACUCUCUAAAUUCAACAGUUAGAAAAAGAAAAACUUAUUUAAAAAUGGACAAAAGACCUAAACAGACAUCUCACCAAAAAAUAUAUACAUUUGGAAAGUAAACAUAAGAAAAGAUGUUUGACACCACACAUUGAGAAUGUAUUAGAGAGUUGCAAGUGGAAAAACAAUGGGAUAUCACUACAUACCAGCUAUAAUGCUCCAAAUUCAAAAUACUGACAACACCAAAUAAUGGUGAAAGUAUGGAUCAAUGGGAACUCUCAUUAAAUGCUAAAUGGUACAGUCACUGAGAAAAUAUUUUAGUGACUUCUUACAAAACCAAACAUAUCCUUACCAUAUGAUUCAGCCAUAACACUUCUUGGUAUUUACCCAAAUGUGUUAAAAACUUAUGUUCAUACAAAACCUAUACAGAGACGUUUAUAGCAGUUCCAUUAAUAAUUGCCCAAACUGGAAGCAAUCAAUCAAGAUGUUCAUCAGGAAGUGAAUAAAUAGAUAAUGUAAGACACAUCAAGACAAUUCAAUAUUUUUUUCAGUACUAAAAAGAAAUGAGCUAUCAAACCAUGCAAAAAACAUGGAGGAAACUUAAAUGCAUGUUACCAACUGAAAAAAAAAAAGCCAAUCUGAAAAUCUACUACUGUAUAAUUCCAACUAUGUGACAUUGUGGAAAAGACAUAACUAUUGAGACAAUAAAAUGAUCAGUGGUUCUCAGAGGUUAGGGGCAGGGAGGGAUGAAUAAUCAGAGCACUGGAAUUUUUAGGACAGUAAAACUUCUCUGUAUAUCUACAAUGAUAGGUAUAUGUUAUUUUACAUUUGCCAAAACCCACAGAAUAUACAACACCAAAAACGGACCCUAUUAUAAACCACUGACUUUCCGUAAUUAUGUGUUAAGGUAGGGCCCUUGGUUGUAAUGAAUGUAUCACUUCAGUGGGGAAGGGGUAUUGAUAGUGGGAAAGGUUCUGGACAUGAGAGCAAAGGGUAUAUGGGAAUCUCUGUGCCUUCUUCUCAUUUUUUCUGUGAACAUAAAGCUGUCCUAAAAAUAAAAUUCGUUAAUUAGAAAGAGUGAUGCAUGUUCUCUCUGGUAGACAGAUUUCUAAGAUGGCUCCCAGUGAUUCUUGCCUCCUGGUUUCAUAGCCCUGUAUAGCUCUUUCCUUGAGUAUAGUCUGGGCCCACUGACUUGCUUCUAAUUAAUAGAAAACAGCAAAGGUGAUGAGAUGUCAUUUUUUUGUGUGUUUGUGAAUGGUUUACAAAAGUCUGACUAUCAUCUUGCUUUCAUUUACUCUAAGUAGCAUUCUCUUUCUGGCUCUUUUUACCUUUUUUUAAUGAAUUAAGCUGGAGAGGCCCAUGUGGCAAGGAACUGAGGGCUGCCUCUGAGAAACUGCAGAUCAUUCCUCAGUUGAGUCUUCUAAUGAGACCAACAAUUUAAUCUCACCCCACUAACACCUGCAGUGCAAGCUCCUAUGAGACCUAGUGCCAGAUAAUUCAGCUAAGCCUGGAUCCCUGGCCUGCAGAAACUGUGAAUGAAUGGAUGUUUUAAGUAAGUAAGUUUGAGGGAUAAUUUAUUACAUAGUGAUAAAUAACCAAUACACUAUCUUUUAGUGAUGCACAAGAUUGGAAGUUUGCAUUUUUGGCCUUGGGGAAGUAUCCACUUGGUCUAAUGUAUGCAAUGAAAAAGACUUUGGGAUGUCUGUCUUUUUUUGGAUGCAUAGCACUAGUUUAAUCACUGACAGAAAAGAAAGGGAAAAAAACUUUUUGAAAAUUUUUUUUUUCUGGAAGUUAGUGAGUAAGGAAUACUUCAGAAUAAAAAAGGUCAAAGACUUUAAAGUUAUCUGUAAUUUUAGUGUUAAGUACUAUUUCAUUGUAAGAGCAUUCCAAUUGAGAAAAUUUGGAGAAAGGACAAUCAAUGUUAAAUUUCUUGAUUGACAAAAACAGGGCUUCCUGAACCAAGUAGGAUUUAGACAUUCAUGAAGAACACAAUUGUAUGGAGUUACACCAGACAUAUUUAUUUCUAAAUGCUGGAAUUCUAUGUGGUACAGUCUUUUGUUGUCUUCUCUUUGCCACCUCCAUUCGCUACCUGAGUGAUCUCAGCCAGGCUCAUGACUCUACAUAUCAUCCAAAUGCAGAUAAAACCUAGAAACAUGUCUCAAGUCUGGACUUUUUUCCUUGAAUUCCAGUUUUUUUCUUUCCAACUGCCUACUCAGCACCUCCAUUUGGAUGUCUACGAGGCAUUUCAAACUUAACACAUCAAUCUUCAAAUCUUCACCUUCCUCCCACUCUCCUAUCUUAAAAAAAAACAGCAACUCCAUCCUUUGGUACUGAAGCCAAAAAAAUCUUGGAAUUGCUCUUGACUCACUUCUUUCUUUCACAAAUUAUAUCUAAUCCCACUAGCAAGUCCCACUAGUUCCUCCUUUAAAAUAAUCCAGGAUCUGGGUACUUCUCAGACCUCUGGUCCAAGUUUUCAGCAUCCUUCCUAAUUCACCUCUUUGUUUAUGCCUUUGCCCUGUCAUGGCCCGUUCUUAGCACAGCAUCCAGAGGGAUCUUAUUAAAGUAUAAAGUCAGAUCCUAUCACCCCUGCUUACAUCACUACGAUGGCUCUUUUUCGCUCAGAGUAAAAGCCCCAAUCCUUACAAAGGCCCAGGACAGGCUGCUUAAACUGCUGUCCUUCUUCUCUGCCCUGGACUCCUGGCACUCUUCCUACUUACUUGUUCCAGGUGUGAUACCCUCAUCCUUGCAUAGGACAGAAUCCUUUUGUCAUGGAUUUUCGUGACUGCUAAGAAUGCUUUCUUCCUCAGACAUCCACAUGCAUCAUUCAUUCAUUUCUCUCAGGUCUUUGCUCAGAUCUUAGUGGGACUUACUUGGCCACCUGCUCUUAGAAGUCUCUGUUCCUUUUCCCACUUUAUUUAUAUUGACAUCACUUUCCCUCUCCCUCUGUCAUACUACCCAUUUUACACCAAAAUACCACACACACCAUACAUAUAUUGUCUGUGAUCCAAUACUGCAAUGGGUGCUCCGUCAAAGCAGGUAUUUAUGUCUGUAACCUCAGUGCCUAGAUUAUCACUUGGUUCAGAUUAGGCAUUGCUAAUUCAUUGUUGAAUAAAUGGAUGAAGCUCUUUUCUUUCUAGCUUUUCUAUGUUUUCCCAUUUCCAUUACAGGUAUUUGUAUUUUAAUUCUCUGAGCACCAGCAUAGGGAAUAGUUAUGCAUUUUGUUUUUGAUUGCAAGUCACAAUUGAGUGAAGUCUGAUUUUCUUGAGGUGUAACUUUAUUUCUUUCAACUUCUAACUUAUAAAGCUGAUGGCAAUUUAAACAAUUGCAGAAAGUUUUGGGGGGUCUUGACUGACUGAAAGUAAAUUAGAAGAAUAUUGAAUUCAACCAUGGCUCAGUUCAUGAUUGAUAAGAGUAAUAUUUCUACAUGCAGGAGGCAUGAAUAUGCACAUUAGAAGUGAGUUAGUGAAAAAUAAGAAAUACUGAACCUGUGGACCUGGCUCAUCUGUAGACUUUGCAAACCAUUCAGUGCCCUGUCAUUAGCAGGGGGCACCUUUCUUAAAAUAUAUGCGCCCAGGUAUAAAUAAUACCAGAGUUGAUUAUCAAAAGACCUGCCCAAAUAAUGGAAAGGAAUGCUACAGGGAGAAGCCAGAAGCCAGGGACACCACCAGCUCACAUUCUUUUCUGACGGCAUCAUACUUUAGGGGAGGAACAAAGGCCAGCUUGCUGUUUUAGAGAUGGGGUGGCAAUCAGAACUUUGAAUUUCUUGGCAUUUGCUAGUUUGAAGCUUAACCUUCUGAAUAGUUGAGUGUAAUUACAUGUGGUUUCUUAAAAGAGUCUUGAACAAAGCGAAUCAUUUAAGGAAUGCCCUAAAAGACAUAUUAUUUAGAAGAACUAUGCUUUGGUCCCAGGAGACCUGAAUAUACCUUUAAAAACACUUGCUCAUAAAUUAAUGGAAUUUCCAAUAGCACAAAAGAAUCAUCUAGUGAAAUCAAAUUUCUCCUGACUCAUGAUAUCCAAUCUACCCCAAAAGCUCCUUACCAAUAAUUCUCUUAAAUGCAUAGUUUGAAAGCAAACAAGACAAUGUGCAGCUGGACCUUGUUCAUGGAAUGUAUGAGCAAGGGAAGGUUUAAGCUGGAGAGGACAGUGGCACUGGGGUGGUGAGUCUAGUUUUGGAAAGAUGUUUUAAUGAAAGGAGAUUCAUAACUGUAUAGUGUUUCAUCCAGGCUGUCACUUGGAAAGCAGACAAUCUUGGUAUUUAGAAAUAUAUGCAUUUGCUUUUUUGACUUCAGUUUUCAUUUUAAAUAAUAUUAAUAUCUAAUAUAUAGUGAAUGCUUCCUAUGUGCCAGGCAGAGUGCUCUACAUGUAUUACUUUGCCCAUUCUUACAAAAGCUUUAUGAGAUAAAUACUAUCAUUGUUCCUAUUUUACACAAGAAAAAUGAAGAUAGUAAUCUUAGUGAUUUGCUGAGCUUUGAUUGUAAAUUGUGGAGCCGAGUCCAUCUGCUGGUCUUAUUACUGAAGUCUCUGCUCUUGACACCCAGCUGUUUGAGUCCCAAGAAGCCCCAUUCAGCACACCAACCUCCUUGGUCAACCAUGAUAAUCACAUUGAGCUACCAAUGGCAUGUCUACACCUUCCUUUCUCCGUGAAGGAUCCUGAUGAAACCUAUCUCACAAAGUUCCACUGUCUGGAAAUGGUGGACUACCUCCAAGUGCUUUUGUUGGCCUAUUGCUUUAAACCUGAUGACACAGAAUGCACAGAAUGGCCAGCAGAUGGCUUUAGUAAGUGGGAGUGGAGCCAACACUUGUCAGAGGCCUACAUGGUUUUCGAAGAGAGUUUCCAAGGAUGAGAUGAGAUCCUUAAGGGCUUAUUCUAAUACUUUCUGUUCUCAAAGCACAGUCCACAUAUCUCUUUUCACUUCUCCAGAGGCUAUUUCCUUUUCUACUAUGUUUGGGUACAAAAGGGUUCUUGGCUGAUCCUGAGGUUUAGGACAGUAAUGGGGGGGGGGUCAUGUGGGUGACGGCUGGCUGCUUUCUUAUUGGCUAGGGCUCUAUUUAUGACCCAUACUCACUCACAGUGAAGAGAUUACGCUCACAAGUCUAUGUGUAUGUAUGUGGUAGGAGACAGUAGUGUUGAUGCAUACUAUACCUGCCAAACCUUCAGUCAUUUUAAAGAGACAACAAAUUCAUACGUGUGGGUUUGCACAAAAAUCUUCAGUGAAUUAUCGAGUACCUGCUAUGUGCCAGACACUGUGAGAGGUGACGGGGAUAAGAUGGAUAAGAUCUUAAGCAGAAACAGACAUGGUUCCUGGCUUCCUGGGAUCCCAGUAUACGGAGAGGCAUAAGCAGCAAAUCCACAACUGUGGUUAGUGCUAGGAAAAAGAGUGCUUUGUGCUAUGAGGACAUAAAUAAGGGAAUUGAGUCUAGUCAGAGAAGUCAGGAGAGGUUUCUUGAGGACUUGAAGCUUGACCUGUGAUCUGAAGGAGGAGAAGAGAUGAACUAAGGGACAGGGGAUCUUUCCAGGCUAUGCUCCAGUGCAUAUCAAGGCCAUAUGGCUAUAGGCAGUAUGGCAUGAAUCUCUCUGCAGAGAAGCAGAAGUAGAGGAAGACGGUAGUUUUCUGCCUCUGGGAAUGCUGUCUUGGACCAUGCCCUCUCUAGGGCUGUGAUUUACACUUUCUCUCCCCUCUCAAAUUGUGGACACUCUGAGUAGUUCAGGAGGUUGAGGCAGGAGGAUGCAGGUUCAAAAAGCCAUUCUCAGCUACUUAGUGAGGCCCUAAGUAACUAAGCAGACCCCGUCUCAAAAUAAAAAAAUAAAAAGGUCUGGGGAUACAGCUCAGUGCCCUUGGGUUUAAUCCCUAGUACUAAUAAAUAAAUAGAUAGAUCCAGUUUGACCCCUUCAGAUUUAGCUACUGGAAACUUUAAACCUGCAUCUGCACUCUCAGAGUGUCUCUUUAUACCAGCUCUCAGAAAUGCCUCAAGAAAGUGUUCCUUAAAAAUUUAAAUGUAGUAACUUUGUGGAGAACCUGCAGACCCCUGAGGCAAUGGUGAGCCCCAGGUGUCCAUCAGCUUGAGCUUAUUCUAGACUUUGGCCCAGUAUUAAUAGGACAGAGGCCACUUAUGCCUUCAGGAAAAUCGGGGGGCUCUGGUGGAGGCCUGGGGUGAAGGUCAAACUCUCUCCUUCCCUCUCUCCUUCCCUACAGGGUGACUUGGACACGAACAACUUUCUGCAGUGACCAUCUGAGGAAGACUGCCUGGGUAUGGCAAGUAGGGAAGCAUUUCUUACUUCAAGAAGUUUUCAACCCAGAGAAGGUAGAAGAAACUACCCCCAGAUGCAAAAUGCAAUCAGGUGAG